AUGAGGAGCAGCUGAGAGAGCUGGGGGUGCUUAUCCUGGAGAAGAGGAGGCCCAGGGGAGACCUUACCACUCUCUGCAACUCCCUGGAGGGAGGCUGUAGCCAGGUGGGGAGUCGGUCUCUUCUCUCGGGUAACAAGUAACAGGAUGAGAGGAAGUGGCCUUAACUUGCACCAGGGGAGUUUUAGAUUGGAUAUUAGCAAACAGGUUUUCACAGAAAGGGUGGUCAGGCACUGAAACAGGCUGUCCAGUGAAGUCACCAUCCCUGGAGGUAUUUAAGACACUUAGGGAAGUGGUUUAGUGGUUGACUUGGCGUAAAGGUUCUUUCCAACAUAAAUGAUUCUGUGACUCUAUAAGGGGACAUCCCAUGGUGUUGAAAAUCAAUUAGCAGGUUAACAGUCCACAGCUUGGUUGUUCAAAAAUAGAACGUUAUUGCUGUACAAAUGUUGGGCAGAAAAAGUGUCCAACAACAGUGCAGCAACCACUUCGUUGGAAAACAGUUCUCAGUCAUGGCCCUGGCAGAGGAGGGGUCCAACAACUUUUUUCCAACACAUUUAUUACUAUGGGCAAGUAUGUAACUAACCAGAGGCUGACAGUCUGAAAGGUUCAAGAGGAAUAAUGUGAAGUAGUUUAACCUUACUAAAAGCCAAUAAAUUAAUAACUUUUUCUUAUCCAGAACCCUACAGGAUAUCUCUCUCUGGUUGAAUUUCCUUAUAUGAUCAAAUCUUCUUCUUGCUCUAAACCCCUUGCUGCCAGUUUAAAAUAGUAUGAGACUGAGAUUUCUCACCCUUCAAGAAAACACUUUGAUUUGUUGAAGGAAGCUAGGAACAGUUAAGGAGAUAGGAAAGAAAGUAAUAUACCUUUCUCUGUGCUGACAUCUGCAACUGGGGGAUGUGUUGAAAAGUAAAUAUAAUUCGCUUUGAGCAAUGCUUUCCCAUUCUCUUUCAUUCUGGUUCGGUGCUCUGGUUCCCAAUGAAGUAGACAUAUCGAUGGAAAGUGAGGUGCAGAAGGGCUGUAGGACCUCAGUGAAGAGGCUGGGGAUCAUCCCCCAUGCUAGGGCUGUGGGACUAAUGUUGUUGUUCAUUUGCAAAUUUUUCAAGAGAGCACUGGGAUGAGAAGUGGCAGGAUCACUGUCUGUCUGUCUGUCCAGUGCCAGGGAAGCUAGGCCAGGACCCUCACCAGCCCCUAUCUCACCUUGCAGCUGAGGCCAACCUCAGCUGCUGCCAGCAGCCAAACCAGUUCUUACCAGCUUCAGGUAAAACUAUGGAUGGGCACAACCUGGCCCUGAGCAGCCUGUGCCCAGGGGGUUGGAGCAGUCCCCUGGGGGUGCCAGUCAGGUGAAGGUGGCCUUGGUGGCUGCCCAGGCUGCCUGGCUCAGCCAUCCACUUCCCUGGAGUAUCAUGCUCCUGCUUCUCCCCCAGAGGCAUAUGAGAUCAGUUUCAUCCUGAUGGAGAACAUGUUUCCUGAAAUCUUCUGAAGCUCUAAGAGAGGGGUAAUAGUUUCUGGGACAGUGCUGCACAGUGAAAAUGACCUAAACCUAUGAAAUUUACUUUUUUUUUUUUUAAAGACAGCUAAUUUUUUUUUUUGUUUUUAUUUACUCUUAUUUUGCUGUUAAUAUUUCCAAAAGUAGCUGGUAAUACUAAGAAGGCAUUGCAAAGAGGGGUUUGGUUUACUCCUGUAGUUUAUAGAAAUUUUCGUGGAGCAAGCUAAGGCUGGAGAGCUGAAGCAUAGUGCAGCGUUGGAUUGACUGUCUGGGACAGCUUCUGCUCAGAGAUCCCUGAAAAUGGUGCAGCAUGGAUAAGGACUUUGUGCAAGUGGUUGUCAUACUAAUGAUGUGGAAAAUAUGACUCUUGGCAGGGGCCUCCUACUCUGUGUUUUCCAGGUCAGCACCAGAGGUUUUCCUGGGGAGCUCAGGGUCUGCCAGCAGCAGCUGCUGUGGGGUGGAAAUACCCCUCUCUUUUUAAGCUUCGUUCAAAAGGCUGGAGAAGGACAGCUGAGUGCCGAGUGGGACAGGGAUAAGACCGCUGGGGAUGGAGUGGUGUGGGAGAUACCCUGUGGUCUCUCCAAACAUCACCAUCUACACAGUGUGUGAGCUUACAUGGGGACCUCAGUGUACUUGGAGGUUUUUUAAUGGCUUUUUCACUGCAUAUUUAGGUUUUUGAUGUAAACUUUCAGUUAUAUUUUAGGUUGUAGGGAUGGGGGGAAGGAUGGGUUAAUUUUAAUAACUUUAUGAAAAGACAUUGAAGGCAAGGAUGCUCAUGAGCACGUUAGUCCAUGAUGCUGCAUUCUGCCAGGUUUGGUGAAUGUUUAACCAGGACUGGACCAGCAGCCAGGAGCUGUUGGGGCUCUUGGGAUCUGUUGGGGCUCUUGGGAUCUGUUGGGGUAGCUGUGAUUUUCAAUGUGUGGAGACAGACGACUUUCAAGAACAUUUGUAUCUGCUAAUCAUGCUGUAAUAACAGUCUGCAGUCGAGAGGCUGCAAACCCCCCAUUUCCUACACAGCUGUGCAUAUUUAAUUCGAUAGAAGGCAUUGCUCGUCUGCUGUUAGAAGUAAUUCAGAUCGCUAAGGUGGUAAUUUUGAUCAUGGUGGUUUUUAGGGAAAUAUAGGUGUAAGCUACACUGAAGAGUUAAUAAAUGCCUAGUAUGAUACAAACACCAGGGAGUGAGGAGCGGGGACAUGGUGGGUGGCUGCCAGUGCCCCACCCCACAUCGUGGGCUUGCCCUGUUCCUGCCUCGCUGAGCCAGCAGCAAAGGAAAGCAACAUCCUGGGCACAUUAGCUUAGUGAAGGAAGUUUUUCCUGACGUAUUGCCUCUACACCAAUUUUGGGCAUUGAGGCAGUCAGGGCAUUUGAUGUGUCACCAGCAGUGCUGUGGGGGGAGGACCAAAGGUGGUGGAGCUGUGGAGGGUUGGCACGACCUGGUCUGUGGGGAUGCUUUUGGCUGACCCCAGGGUUUAAACCACCAAGCUGGCAUCUUUCAGGAGAAGAAAUCAGGAGUGUGGGGUUUAUUUUCCUUCAUCUCAAGCACAGCUUGUGAAAGCAAGUGCUUUCAGGGCUUCCAAUUCCGUUUCUCUCUGUAAAAUAGGCUUUUGCAAAAUUGAUAAUUUCUGUAGGUUAAGAGAGUCUCAAAGGAACUUUCUGUCAAGCAUCUAAAAAGUGCCAUUAUUUCUCUUCCCUGUUGUAACAGCAGCUUGAGAUUUACCUUUUAACUCUCUAAAGAUGUCUCGACAAUCUCUUUUUUGUGAACAGCUCCAUGGUGAAUAAAGCAAAAUAAUCCCAUUUUCAGGUGGUUUGUGCUGUAGUGUUUGGGUUGCAGAAACCAUGUGGAGUGCUGGUGUUUAUCAAGUAUUUAAAAGCCUUUUUGUUUAUUUUGUUUUGUUUUGCCAUGAGAUGUAACUUCUUUUGGAAAGCAUCUAGAAUGAUGAAGCAGCUGGUGGCUGAGUCUCCUACUCAGUGUGCAGAGACUGAAGAUUGGCUGGGAUAGCUGGAGUUAUUCACUGCAUGCUGUGGGCCACGUAAACACACAGACAGGCAAUUCCUGUGAACCAGGAGGUGUGUGGUAACACAUAAAUCACCAUAAACUGUUCAGUACGUGUACUCACCAGGACACCACAUGGGAGCCAGCAGAUACAGAUCUCCCCAGCUCUUGUCCAUUAUUUGCAGGUGCUGGUGUGGCACAGCUCAUGUAGGUGAGAUGAUAAUGGCUGUGUGAAUGCCUCCUGUGCAGAGGGCAGGUCUGGCCUGAAUUUGCCUGAUGCCAGCAUUGUGAUGCGUUUCAGGGAAGUGGUGUUUUCAUGGCAAGGACAGCUGCUUUCUCCUGCCUUGUGCUGCCUUGGAAUAAGCAUGUCCCCAUGGGAGGCUGCUCAAGAGCUGCCUACGCAGGGAGGCUCAAGACAAACAAACUCAGGCAAGAGUUUUCAUUAGUAAUUACCUACCUGUUGAAAAAAGUUGAUGUUUCUAUAUGAAAUGUGUUUGUGACUCCUUCAUUUCACUGUUGCCUAACUCCAAGCAUUCAAAAGCAGUAGCAGAUCUCCCAGAACUGUGAAAUAGUUUGAGAGAGCUGAAAUAUGUGUGUGUGUAUAUAUAUAUAUACACAUAUAUUACCAAGUUGUUUCUGAGCUGUUAUAUUAAACUCAAAUCAUUCUCAUAGCCACGAGGGGCAGAAACUUUUUGCAUACUUUCUGAAGAGGAUCGUGCAGUACGAGUAAAACAGCAAGGGAUUGGAUUUAGUAACCCUGAAGAUUGCUUUCUGCUUUAUGUUUCCAAAAGUGGAGAUCCUUGCAGAAGCUUCACCAGCUGGGUCUUUAGGAGAAGUACCAAAAAUUGUGAGGGUCAGUAUACAGUCCCAAGAAGCAAGAGCACCAUACACAUAUACAUUUACUUAACGUUCUAAGCAGAGAUUUGAAAUUGGGGGAAGGAAUGGGCUGUGUUGCAUUGUAGGUGAUUUUGUUGUUCUUUAGAAGCGUUUUAUUCAUAGGUUUGGGUUUAUUUCUUUCUGUUGGCAAGCUGUAGGGUCACUUUCGUGUGUUGGACACAGCACUUCUAAAAAGCAGGAUUUCAGAUAGCAGUUUUAGGAAAAUAUAACUGGACUAAACCCCUUAAAUACAGAAACAGCUUCAUCCUAAGCCUACCAUGUGAGAACGGAGAAUCUGACCCAAAAGAGGGAUGAAGAGCAGCAGAAGGUGGCCUGCUGGGUCCCAAAGUGUUGGAGGGAAAAAAAAAAAGGCAAAAAUGAGGAAAGCCAGCUUUAGUUUUGGGAGACAGCAGGUAUCAGAAGUACCGAGAGAUUCCCAGGAUGUAAGAAAUCAAGUGCUGUGUCAUGCAGCUGACAGGUCUACUGGUGGAGCUGAUGGUCACAGCCAGGGCAGAAAUUCAUUAAACAAAACAGAGUCAAAUAAUCAGGGAAGUUUGGAGCUGUUUGCAAGAUCUACUGAGCUGGUUGCUCACCCUGUCAAAAGAAGCGACCAUCUGGGACAACAGCACGGUGCCAGGAGCUGCCAUGGCUAGCAAAAGAAAGUCCACGACUCCCUGUAUGGUGCGAACUUCUGAAGUCAUGGAGCAGGAAGGUGCCGAGGGCGUAGAGACUCCUAAAGACAAGGGGACUGGUGCAUCGCAGCAGGACUCCAAAAAAAGUUGGCCUUCAGAAAACUCAGUCAAAGACUGCGAAGUGGUUGAGGCAAAGCCCCCAGCUGAAAAUCAGUCUAAGAAACCCCAAGGUGGUUAUGAGUGUAAGUAUUGCCCUUACUCAACACAAAACUUAAAUGAAUUUACAGAGCACGUUGACACCCAGCAUCCAAAUGUCAUUCUCAACCCCCUGUAUGUCUGUGCUGAAUGCAACUUCACAACCAAAAAAUAUGAUUCUUUAUCUGACCACAACACAAAAUACCACCCGGGAGAGACUAACUUUAAACUGAAAUUAAUUAAACGCAAUAAUCAGACUGUUUUAGAGCAGUCCAUUGAGACCACCACUAACAAUGUCACUGUCACAAGCAGUGGGCUAGAAAAUGCAGAGUGUGACGAUUCACUACAUGGGGGAAUUAGUGCGAAUAAAGUGCCAGUGAUGAAACUGGGAAAGCCUAAAGGGGAGACCAAGAAGGGAUCCAAAAAGCCAGAAGAGGGAGUUACAGAAAACCACGUGGAUGGCGCUCUCCCCCGCAUCAUAACUGAAGCCACUGAAGCUAUUGCCUGUAUAAAUGGAGACCUUCUCCACGAUGUGUUAGCCCAUGUUAUGCCCUCUGUACAGCUGCCACCAAAUAUCAACCUUGUCCCCAAGGUCCCGGUCCCUCUGAACAGUACCAAAUACAACUCUGCACUGGACACUAACGCAACCAUGAUCAACUCCUUUAAUAAGUUUCCUUAUCCAACACAAGCAGAGUUGUCGUGGUUGACAGCAGCAUCAAAACAUCCAGAAGAACAAAUCCGAAUCUGGUUUGCUACGCAACGUUUGAAGCAUGGUAUAAGUUGGUCUCCUGAAGAAGUGGAGGAAGCAAGAAAGAAGAUGUUCAAUGGUACUAUCCAGGCAGUUCCCCAGACCAUCACCGUCCUGCCAGCUCCUUUGGCAACUGCAAAAAUGCCACAGCCUAUCAUCCAGACAGCUUUGCCUUGUCAGAUACUGGGCCAGACUGGCCUGGUUUUGACUCCUGUGUCGAAUGGUUCAACUGUUUCCUGUUCACCAAUUACACUUGCUGUUGCCCCGAACCAGGGGCAGAAGAGGACGAUACAGACCUUAUCAAGUGCCCCAGAGGCUAAGCGUCCUCACGUAGUUCAGGUGCCUGAGAUUCCUGCCAAGUUGACUGCUGUUCCCAUGACACCAGCCAGUGAGCGGAAGAAGACCAAGGAGCAGAUAGCAGAGCUGAAGGCCAGUUUCUUGGCAAGCCAGUUUCCUGAUGAUGCAGAAGUCUACCGGCUUAUAGAGGCAACAGGUCUUUCCAGGAGUGAGAUCAAGAAGUGGUUCAGUGACCACAGGUACAGAAGUCAGAGGGGCAUUGUGCAAAUUCCUGGUGAUGCUUUAGGGAAAGAUCAAAUAGCACCUUCAGCUGGUCGACAUGGCCGGUCAUUUCACCCAUACACAGAUUUUACUCCCCAGAGAUUCAAAGAGAAAACUCAAGAGCAGCUUAGGGCCCUUGAGGAGAGUUUCUUGAGAUGCUCUUUUCCUACCCAAGGAGAAUUGGAUAGGCUGCGAAUGGAGACUAAGCUGAGUCGGAGGGAGAUAGAUUCAUGGUUCUCUGAGCGGAGAAAGAUAAGGGACAGCAUGGAGCAAGCUGUCUUGGACUCAAUGGGAUCAUACAGAAAAAGUAAGGAUCAAGGAACUCCCAAUGGUGCAAUAAGCCAGGCAGAACUUCUGAGUAGCUCUCAGCUCCCUGGUGCUUUAUCUGGGUCCUCCACCACGUUGAAGAAAACACAAGAGCAAAUUCAUCUACUGAAGAGCACAUUUGCAAGGACCCAGUGGCCAUCACCCCAGGAGUAUGACCAGUUGGCAUCUCAGACUGGGCUCACGAGAACUGAAAUAGUCCGCUGGUUCAAGGAAAACCGGUCUUCACUAAGAGCAGGGUCACUUAAAUGGAUUGACCAGUACCAGCAGCAGUAUGCUGGUGAUGGUCAUAACAAGCAGAGCCAGAAAAAGAGCUCAAAACAUGCUGAGAGUCCAAAGAAUGGUAAUGAGGUGUCUCGGCAGCAUUACCAGGAGCAUAAAAAACUGAAUGAAGAGAAUGGGGGGAAACCAGUGGUGAGAGCAAAAAGAGACUGCGAACCACUGAAAGACUCGUUGUUAGGGAAUCAAGCAGAGGGUGUGGACAGGCUGGAGUGCAACAGCCACGAUGGCCAUGGCAGCGAGGAGAACGAGGAGCUGGCGGAGGUCAACUGGGUGGAGGUGACGGUGGGCGAGGACGACGCUGCCUCGGACUGUACGGACAGCUGGAGCCAAACGGCCCCCGAGGGCCACACAGAGCUGGCAGACUUGGACUCUGAAAGUAUAUCUGGAGACAAUUCCCACGUAUAGACAGCAUUCUGCGAUAUUCAAAACAAAAGCUCACUGGGGGAAGGGCCUAGGACACAGAUGCUUCUUUAUGCAAAAACAAGCGAAAAAACAAAAGUGGGUGCUGAAGUGCCUCAUGCAAAUGUGCUUUCUUCCUCUUGCAGGGGUACUCCUCAGCUACACUGUCCUGAUGUUGAAGGGGAAAUGCUGCCUGAAAAUAGAAGAAAACUCUAUUUUCCUGCCUGGGUUGAGAGAGUGUGUUGUGACUCCCAAGUCUCAAACUGUGCUUGUGGAGGCACAGUGAGAAAUACUCUCAUGGAGCAUCAUCAUGGAAUUGUUGAUAGUGCCAAAGUCCUACUACUGCAUUACAAAAGAGAAGAAAGAAAGAGGAAAGGUCCUUGUACAUAGGUUUCUCUUAGUUUCUCUCCCACCCACUUUUCCCUGCCCAGCCUCUUCCUCUACUGGAACAGAUUUGUACAACAUAAAAAUUUUGUUAAUUUUUUUUAAUAGGUGCAAGCUAUUCUUGCAUAUAAUGCAAUUGAGAAAUUUUGGGGUUGGUUGGGGGGAGGGAAGUGUCUUUUGUGGACGAGGGAGAGAAGAUUUUUUUUUUUUCCUGAAGUGUUUUGAGUUGCAAUCUUUUGGAGUUGUCUUGGUGCAGAUCAACACCUGAGCCCAGAUCCCCACCCUGGUUUACAUUUCAGACCAGUUAAAUAUGUUCUGGAGCGGUGGGGUUUGUUUUUUUGUUUUUUUUCUCUUCUUGCUUUGACUUUUUUGUUUUGUUCUAUGGCCACCUGCUACUGGUUGAAGUAUUUAAAUCUCUGCUUUUCCAUGCUCCUACAUGGCAAGUCUUCUCCAGCUCGUGUACUUCACUUUUCACCAGCCAGCCCCAGCUGUGGGUCUCUGAAGAUUUGGCUAGAAUGCCGUUUUUUGGUUAUUGGUUUGGUUUUGGGGGUUUUUUAGCACUUUUUGUUUAAACAUGCAGUACAACUCCCAGAGGGGUUGGAGCGAGGAAAUUAAGAUGCUUCAUAAUCCAAACUUGUUUGUGUUUCUGUGGCUGGUACAGCGAUGGACACCAUAACCAGCAGUCUGCCCUCCAGCUUUAGACAUUGUAGCGCACAACAGAAGUUUCUUAUUAACCCUUGCCACUAAAAUUUUUAGGUGACUCCUAGGUUCCUGAGUGCACUUUUUUUCAAAUACUGCUAAUUUGGAUUUGCAUGGGGGUGUCUGUGCACAUGUGAGGAGGGAACAGAGGGAGAGCAGGAGCCUGGGUGCAAGAGCCGUCCAGUGCGUUCCUCUGCCGCGCUGGGUUUGGAAAACUUGCCCACCUUUCAGUACGCUGCACAAAUAGGAUGCCAGGGAGUUUGCAUAAAUCCAACUUUUCUAACUUGUUGCUCAUUUGUUGUAACUCAAUAAACAAAGGCUAAAAAUUUUGGUAA